GCCCAUCCCACCAGAGGAUCCAAUGCCGUUACCAGGCAGCCUAACAGAGAAGCAUUUUGAAUUUAUUUCUUUCCUUCUGUCUCUUCUCUGUCUUCUGUGCACUUCCCUAAUCUAACAGCACUAACCAUCCCCUACCCCUUAACAUCGAUUUUGUUGUAAUUUCCUUGAAUUUGUGUGCUUUGUUUCAUUGUUUUGAAUUUUUACUAAUCUCGUCUCAGUUGUAUAUUUUCAGGCACUCGGACGUGGUACAACGCGGGAGCACCCAGCCAGCCUCCAGCCACCCAGCCAGCCACAGAUGAAGAGGAAGGAGCCCAUUGCCCAGCUUUGUCUAGCGGCUUACAUUUGCCAAGGCGGAGCGUCGAUCCCACCGAGACAUUCAGCAGCAUUCUGGGUAGCAAGGAUCGACUGCGACCGCACAUGGAAGAGAGGAUAUGCGGUGUGAUGCAGCCCUCUGUUCCCAGUCCUUUGAAGAGGAGUCUGCCAACCCAGGGACGGUCAGGGUUAGGCUGUUGUGGAUUCCCAGAUGAUUAGUAGACUGCGGCCUGCCAGAGGAAGUGCGCAGAGUUCAGGGACGUACUGCGGCCAUCUCCGGCGUUGAAGGUACGGGGUUGGACUGGCCUGGUUGCGUGGAAGAAGAGCAGACCGUCACCAGUAGGCAGCAGUUCUGUGAUGCACUGCGGUCAAUCCCUGAC